UACGGAGGGGGCUAGCGUUGUUCGGAAUUACUGGGCGUAAAGCGCGCGUAGGCGGAUCUGCAAGUCGGGGGUGAAAUCCCGAGGCUCAACCUCGGAACUGCCUUCGAUACUGCGGGUCUCGAGUCCGGGAGAGGUGAGUGGAAUUCCUAGUGUAGAGGUGAAAUUCGUAGAUAUUAGGAAGAACACCAGUGGCGAAGGCGGCUCACUGGCCCGGUACUGACGCUGAGGCGCGAAGGCCAGGGGAGCAAACGGG
rnacentral:rRNA from 1 species